AGUUAUGUGGCCGAGUGGUGAGGCUAAGGUUUGCACAACCUUCCACGGUGGUUCGAGUCCAUCCAUAACUG
rfam:Filimonas lacunae strain DSM 21054 genome assembly, contig: Ga0111651_110